rnacentral:rRNA from 1 species
AACCUACCCUCGGGCUUGGGACAACACCUCAAAGGGGUGCUAAUACCGGAUAAGACCACGUCCUGUAUGCAGGACGUGAUAAAAGGUGGCCUCUCCAUGGAAGCUAUCACCUGAGGAUGGGCCCGCGCCCCAUCAGCUUGUUGGUGAGGUAAAAGCUCACCAAGGCUAAGACGGGUAGCUGGUCUGAGAGGAUGUCCAGCCACACUGGAACUGAGACACGGUCCAG